CUACGGGGCGCAGCGGUGGGGAAUAUUGCACAAUGGGCGCAAGCCUGAUGCAGCCAUGCCGCGUGUAUGAAGAAGGCCUUCGGGUUGUAAAGUACUUUCAGCGGGGAGGAAGGGAGUAAAGUUAAUACCUUUGCUCAUUGACGUUACCCGCAGAAGAAGCACCGGCUAACUCCGUGCCAGCAGCCGCGGUAAUACGGAGGGGGCAAGCGUUAAUCGGAAUUAUUGGGCGUAAAGCGCACGCAGGCGGUUUGUUAAGUCAGAUGUGAAGUCCCCGGGCUCAACCUGGGAACUGCAUCUGAUACUGGCAAGCUUGAGUCUCGUAGAGGGGGGUAGAAUUCCAGGUGUAGCGGUGAAAUGCGUAGAGAUCUGGAGGAAUACCGGUGGCGAAGGCGGCCCCCUGGACGAAGACUGACGCUCAGGUGCGAAAGCGUGGGGAGCAAACAGGAUUAGAUACCCUCGUAGUC
rnacentral:rRNA from 1 species